rnacentral:rRNA from 1 species
UACAGAGGCCUCGAGCGUUAGGCGGAAUCACUGGGCUUAAAGCGUGUGUAGGCGGAUCUGUAAGUACCUUGUGAAAUCCCACGGCUCAACCGUGGAACUGCUUGGUAUACUGCGGGUCUUGAGCCACCUAGGGGCAAGUGGAACAAACGGUGGAGCGGUGAAAUGCGUAGAUAUCGUUUGGAACGCCAAUGGUGAAAACAACUUGCUGGGGGUGUGCUGACGCUGAGACACGAAAGCCAGGGGAGCAAACGGG